rnacentral:lncRNA from 1 species
AGGACUAAGAAACUUGAGGCUAGGCUGACCCCAUGGUUGUUAUGAUUAGAAAUCCGAGGCCACUGGAAACCCGGAGCUGCUGACCAACGAGUCACAGGGUAACUUCGCCUUCGCAUGGGGAAACGGGCUGGUGCAGUGGUGUCAUCUUGGCUCAGUGCAGCCUCGACUUCCUGGGAUCCAGCGAUCCUCCCGCUUCAGCCUCUAGAGUAGCCGAGACCACAGGAACAGAAACAACACACUCAGACUUGAGAAACUGGUCUGGUUUAAAAGGGUUCCUGGCCUUACAGACACUGUUAGUAACUGGACUCUACCCUCCCAUGGAAUUUCCCUCACUUCUUUUCUUGCCUGAUUCAAUCAUAACAACCCUGCUGACUUUCAAUUGUGCCUACAAUUUUCACCUUAAUCCUAUCAGGUCCUGAAGAAAUUUUUCCAGAUGAAUUAGUGAUCAUCUCCCAACUAUUUGGACUUUGGUGUCUGCCAUUCUGUAUAUAACAGAACAUACUAUAAAAGCACAGUCUGUACUGGACAGAAUCAUUUACUCCCUUUCCUAGACCAGCCACGUAGCUUGGCCUGAUCUGGAGGCUAAAAUAUGGAGCCCCAUUCAUCAUCUUUGGAAGAGCUGUCUUGAAGGCAGCAUGUCCAGAGCCCCACAUGCCACCAGACUUAAGCCUAAAGUAAGCUGGGAUUGGGCAAUGGACAACUUCACUGCACUGAGCCACCACUGCCAAUGUCCCCAGUUCUGUGCACAUAUGAAGUACAGUGCAUUCAGGCUGCCAUGCUGGGCUUACAUAGGCUAGAGUCAUUUCUGAAGUUUAAAGGGGACAAAAAUGUUGUUGAGACCCACACUCUGGGGCCAAUGGCUGAAACCACAGAAGAGCUACACUCACUUGAAAAAUAAGUGUAUGCUGAGAUCGUUCGAAGAUGGCUGAAUAGGAACAGCUCCAGUCUAAAGCUCCCAGCGUGAGCAACACAGAAGACAGGUGAUUUCUGCAUUUCCAACUGAGCUUUGAAGAGAGCAGUUGUUCUCCCAGCAUGGAGUUUGAGAUCUGAGAACGGACAGACUGCCUCCUUAAGUGGGUCCCUGGCCCCCGAGUAGCCUAACUGGGAGACACCUCCCAGUAGGGGCCAACUGACACCUCAUACAGCCGGGUGCCCCUCUGAGACGAAGCUUCCAGAGGAAGGAUCAGGAAGCAACAUUUGCUAUUCUGCAAUAUUUGCUGUUCUGCAGCCUCCACUGGUGAUACCCAGGCAAAUAAGGUCUGGAGUGGACCUCCAGCAAACUCCAACAGACCUGCAGCUGAGGGUUCUGACUGUUAGGAGGAAAACUAACAAACAGAAAGGAAUAGUAUCAACACCAACAAAAAGGACAUCCACACCAAACCCCAUCUGUAGGUUACCAUCAUCAAAGACCAAAGGUAGAUAAAACCACAAAGAUGGGGAGAAACCAGAGCAGAAAAGCUGAAAAUUCUAAAAUCAGAGCAUUUCUUCUCCUCCAAAGAAUCACAGCUCCUCGCCAUCAACGGAACAAAGCUGGACAGAGAAUAACUUUGACGAGGUGACAGAAGUAGGCUUCAGAAGAUCGGUAAUAACAAACUUCUCCGAGCUAAAGGAGGAUGUUCAAACUCAUCGCAAAGAAGCUAAAAACCUUGAAAAAAGAUUAGACGAAUGGCUAACUGGAAUAAACAGCAUAGAGAAGACCUUAAAUGACCUGAUGGAGCUGAAAACCAUGGCACAAGUACUACGUGAUGCAUGCACAAGCUUCAGUAGCCGAUUUGAUCAAGUGGAAGAAAGCGUAUCAGUGAUUGAAGAUCAAAAGAAUGAAAUGAAGUGAGAAGUUAGAGGAAAAAAGAGUAAAAAGAAAUGAACAAAGCCUCCAAGAAAUAUGGGACUAUGUGAAAGGGCCAAAUCUACAUUUGAUUGGUGUACCUGAAAGUGACAGGGAGAAUGGAACCAAGUUGGAAAACACUCUUCAGGAUAUUAUCCAGGAGAACUUCCCCAACCUAGCAAGGCAGGUCAACAUUCAAAUUUAGGAAAUGCAGAGAAUGCCACAAAGAUACUCCUCAAGAAGAGCAACCCCAAGACACAUAAUCGUCAGAUUCACCAAGGUUGAAAUGAAGGAAAAAAAGGUUAAGGGCAGCCAGAGAGAGGUCAGGUUACCCACAAAAGGAAGCCCAUCAGACUAACGGUGGCUCUCUCAGCAGAAACUCUACAAGCCAGAAGAGAGUGGGGGCCAAUAUUCAACAUUCUUAAAGAAUUUUCAACCCAGAAUUUCAUAUCCAGCCAAACUAAGCUUCAUAAGUGAAGGAAACAUAAAAUCCUUUACAGACAAGCAAGUGCUGAGAGAUUUUGUCACCACCAGGCCUGCCUUACAAGAGCUCCUGAAGGAAGCACUAAAGGAACAACCGGUACCAGCCACUGCAAAACAUGCCAAAUUGUAAAGACCAUUGGUGCUAGGAAGAAACUGCAUCAACUAACAAGCAAAAUAACCAGCUAACAUCAUAAUGACAAGAUCAAGUUCACACGUAACAAUACUAACCUUAAAUGUAAAUGGGCUAAAUGCCCCAAUUAAAAGACACAGACUGGCAAAUUGGAUAAAGAGUCAAGACCCAUCAGUGUGCUGUAUUCAGGAGACCCAUCUCACCUGCAGAGACACACAUAGGCUCAAAAUAAAGAGAUGGAGGAAGAUCUACCAAGCAAAUGGAAAACAAAAAAAGCAGGGGUUGCAAACCCACUCUCUGAUAAAACAGAUUUUAAACCAACAAAGAUCAAAAGAGACAAAAGAGACAAAGAAGGCCAUUACAUAAUGGUAAAGGGAUCAAUUCAACAAGAAGAGCUAACUAUCUUAAAUAUAUAUGCACCCAAUACAGGAGCACCCAGAUUCAUAAAGCAAGCCCUUAGAGACCUACAAAGAGACUUAGACUCCCACACAAUAAUAAUGGGAGACUUUAACACUCCACUCUCAACAUUAGACAGAUCAACAAGACAGAAAGUUAACAAGGAUAUCCAGGACUUGAACUCAGCUCUGCACCAAGUGGACCUAAUAGACAUCUACAGAACUCUCCACCCCAAAUCAACAGAAUAUAUACAUUCUUCUCAGCACCACACUGCACUUAUUCCAAAAUUGACCACAUAGUUGGAAGUAAAGCACUCCUCAGCAAACGUAAAAGUACAGAAAUUAUAACAAACUGUCUCUCAGACCAUAGUGCAAUCAAAUUAGAACUCAGGAUUAAGAAACUCACUCAAAACCGCAAAACUACAUGGAAAUUGAAUAACCUGCUCCUGAAUGACUACUGGGUACAUAACUAAAUGAAGGCAGAAAUAAAGAUGUUCUUUGAAACCAAUGAGAACAAAGACACAACAUACCAGAAUCUCUGGGACACAUUUAAAGCAGUGUGUAGAGGGAAAUUUAUAGCACUAAAUGCCCACAAGAGAAAGCAGGAAAGAACUAAAACUGACACGCUAACAUCACAAUUAAAAGAACUAGAGAAGCAAGAGCAAACAUAUUCAAAAGCUAGCAGAAGGCAAGAAAUAACUAAGAUCAGAGCAGAACUAAAGGAGACAGAGACACAAAAAACCCUUCAAAACAUCAAUGGUAUCCAGGAGCUGGUUUUUGGAAAAGAUCAACAAAAUUGAUAGACCACUAGCAAGACUAAUAAAGAAGAAAAGAGAGAAGAAUCAAAUAGACGCAAUAAAAAAUGAUAAAGGGGAUAUCACCACCGAUCCCACGGAAAUACAAACUACCAUCAGAGAAUACUAUAAACACCUCUAUGUAAAUAAACUAGAAAACCUAAAAGAAAUGGAUAAAUUCCUGGACACAUCCACCCUCCCAAGACUAAACCAGGAAGAAGUUGAAUCCCUGAAUAGACCAAUAACAGGCUCUGAAAUUGAGGCAAUAAUUAAUAGCCUACCAACCAAAAAAAGUCCAGGACCAGAUGGAUUCACAGCCAAAUUCUGUCAGCGGUAGGAAGAGGAGCUGGUACCAUUCCUUCUGAAAUUAUUCCAAUCAGUAGAAAAAGAUGGAAUCCUCCCUAACUCAUUUUAUGAGGCCAGCAUCAUCCUGACACCAAAGCCUGGCAGAGACACAACAAAAAAAGAGAAUUUUAGGCCAAUAUCACUGAUGAACAUCGAUGCAAAAAUCCUCAAUAAAAUACUGGCAAACUGAAUCCAGCAGCACAUCAAAAAGCUUAUCCACCAUGAUCAAGUUGGCUUCAUCCCUAGGGUGCAAGGCUCAUUCAACAUACACAAAUCAAUAAACCUAAUCCAUCAUAUAAACAGAACCAAAGACAAAAACCACAUGAUUAUCUCAAUAGAUGCAGAAAAGACCUUCAACAAAAUUCAACAACGCCUCAUGCUAAAAACUCUCAAUAAACUAGGUAUUGAUGGGACUUAUCUCAAAAUAAUAAGAGCUAUCUAUGACAAACCCACAGCCAAUAUCAUACUGAAUGGGCAAAAACUGGAAGCAUUCCCUUUGAAAACUGGCACAAGACAGGGAUGCCCUCUCUCACCACUCCUAUUCAACAUAGUGUUGGAAGUUCUGGCCAGGGCAAUCAGGCAGGAGAAAGAAAUAAAGGGUAUCCAUUUAGGAAAAGAGGAAGUCAAAUCCUCCCUGUUUGCAGAUAACAUGAUUGUAUAUCUAGAAAAUCCCAUCGUCUCAGCCCAAAAUCUCCUUAAGCUGAUAAGCAACUUCAGCAAAGUCUCAGGAUACAAAAUCAAUGUGCAAAAAUCACAAGCAUUCCUAUACAACAAUAACAAACAGAGAGCCAAAUACUGAGUGAACUCCCAUUCACAAUUGCUUCAAAGAGAAUAAAAUACCUAGGAAUCCAACUUACAAGGGAUGUGAAGGACCUCUUCAAGGAGAACUACAAACCACUGCUCAAUGAAAUAAAAGAGGACACAAACAAAUGGAAGAACAUUCCAUGCUCAUCGAUAGGAAGAAUCAGUAUUGUGAAAAUGGGCAUACUGCCCAAGGUAAUUUAUAGAUUUUUUUUUUUUAUUUUUUGAGACGGAGUCUCGCUCUGUUGCCCAGGCUAGAGUGCAGUGGCUUGAUCUUGGCUCACUGCAAGCUCCGCCUCCCGGGUUCAUGCCAUUCUCCUGCCUCAGCCUCCCAAGUGGCUAGGACUACAGGCACCCACCACAAUGCCCGGCUAAUUUUUUGUAUUUUUUUAGUAGAGACAGGGUUUCACCAUGUUAACCAGGAUGGUCUGGAUCUCCUGACCUCGUGAUCCGCCCACCUCAGCCUCCCAAAGUGCUGGGAUUACAGGCAUGAGCCACCGCGCCCGGCCGGUAAUUUAUAGAUUUAAUGCCAUCCCCAUCAAGCUACCAAUGACUGUCUUCACAGAAUUGGAAAAAGCUACUUUAAAGUUCACAUGGAACCAAAAAAGAGCCCACAUUGCCAAGACUGUGGGGGAAAUAAAGAGAGAUCAGGCUGUUACUGUGUCUAUGCAGAAAGAAGAAGACAUAAGAAACUCCAUUUUGUUCUGUAGUAAGAAAAAUUCUUCUGCCUUGAGAUGCUAUUAAUCUGUAACGCUAGCCCCAACCCUGUGGUCACAGAAAUAUUUGCUGUGUUGACUCAAGGUUUAAUGGAUAUAGGGCUGUGCAGGAUGUGCUUUGUUAAAAAUGUGUUUGCACGCAGUAUGCUUGGUAAAAGUCAUCACCCUUCUCUGGUCUCAAGUACCCAGGGACACAAUGCACUGUCGAAGGCCACAGGGACCUCUGCCCAAGAACGCCUGGGUAUUGUCCAAGGUUUCUCCCCACUGAGACAGCCUGAGACAUGGCCUCGUGGGAAGGGAAAGACCUUACCGUCCCCCAGCCCGAUACCCAUAAAGGGUCUGUGCUGAGGAGGAUUAGUGAAAGAGGAAGGCCUCUUUGCAGUUGAGAUAAGAGGAAGGCAUCUGUCUCCUGCUCGUCCCCGGGAAUGGAAUGUCUUGGUGUAAAACCCGAACGUACAUUCUAUUUACUGAGAUGGGAGAAAACUGCCUUAUGGCUGGAGGUGAGACAUGCUGGCGACAAUACUGCUCUUUACUGCACUGAGAUGUUUGUGUAAAGUCAAACAUAAAUCUGGCCUACAAGCACAUCGAGGCACAGCACCUUUCCUUAAACUUAUUUAUGACACAGAGUCCUUUGUUCACAUGUUUUCCUGCUGACCCUCUCCCCACCCUGCCACAUCCCCCUCACCAAGAUAGUAGAGAUAGUGAUCAAUAAAUACUGAGGGAACUCAGAGACCAGAGCCGGUGCGGGUCCUCCAUAUGCUGAGCGCUGGUCCUCUGGGCCCACUGUUCUUUCUCUAUACUUUGUCUCUGUGUCUUAUUUCUUUUCUCAGUCUCUCAUCACACCUGAUGAGAAAUACCCACAGGUGUGGAGGGGCUGGCCCCCUUCAAAGACAAUCCUAAGCAAAAAGAACAAAACUGGAGGCAUCAUGCUACCUGACUUCAAAGGAUACUACAAGGCUACAGUAACCAAAACAGCAUGGUACUGGUACCAAAACAGAGAGAUAAACCAAUGGAAGAGAACAGAGCCCUCAGAAAUAAUACCAUACAUCUACAACCAUCUGAUCUUUGACAAACCUGACAAAAACAAGAAAUGGGGAAAGGAUUCCCUAUUUAAUAAAUAGUGCUGGGAAAACUGGCUAGCCAUAUGUAGAAAGCUAAAACUGGAUCCUUUCCUUACACCUUAUACAAAAAUUAAUUCAAGAUGGAUUAAAGACUUAAAUAUUAGACCUAAAAACCAUAAAAACCCUAGAAGAAAACCUAGGCAAUACCAUUCAGGACACAAGCAUGGGCAAUGACUUCAUGACUAAAACACCAAAAGCAAUGGCAACAAAAGCCAAAAUUGACAAAUGGGAUCUAAUUAAACUAAAGAGCUUCUGCACAGCAAAAGAAACCACCAUCAGAGUGAAGAGGCAACCUACAGAAUGGGAGAAAAUUUUUGCAAUCUACCCAUCUGACAAAGGGCUAAUAUCCAGAAUCUACAAAGAACUUAAACAAGUUUACAAGAAAAAAUCAAACAACCCCAUCACAAAGUGGGCAAAGGAUAUGAACAGACACUUCUCAAAAGAAGACAUUUAUGCAGCCAACAGACACAUGAAGAAAUGCUCAUCAUCACUGGUCAUCAGAGAAAUGCAAAUCAAAACCACAAUGAGAUACCAUCUCACACCAGUUAGAAUGACGAUCAUUAAAAAGUCAUGAAACAACAGAUGCUGGAGAGGAUGUGGAGAAACAGGAACACUCUUACACUGUUGAUGGGAGUGUGAAUUGGUUCAACCAUUGCGGAAGACAGUGUGGUGAUUCCUCAAGGAUCUGGAACUAGAAAUACCAUUUGAUCCAGCCAUCCCAUUACGGGGUAUAUACCCAAAGGAUUAUAAAUCAUGUUACUAUAAAGACACAUGCACAUGUAUGUUUACUGCAGCACUAUUUACAAUAGCAAAGACUUGUAACCAACCCAAAUGUCCAUCAAUGAUAGACUGGAUUAAGGAAAUGUGGCACAUAUACACCAUGGAAUACUAUGCAGCCAUAAAAAAGGAUGAGUUCAUGUCCUUUGCAGGGACAUGGAUGAAACUGGAAACCAUCAUUCUGAGCAAACUACCACAAGGACAGAAAACCAAACACUACACGCUCUCACUCAUAGGUGGGAAUUGAACAAUGAGAACACUUGGACACAGGGUAGGGAAUAUCACACACCCAGGCCUGUCAUGGGGUGGGGGGAGGGAGGAGGGAUAACAUUGGGAGGAAUAUCUAAUGUAAAUGAUGAGUUAAUGGGUGCAGCACACCAACUUGGCACAUGUAUAUGUAUGUAACAAACCUGCACAUUGUGCACAUGUACACUCGAACUUAAAAGUAUAAUAAAAAAAUUUUAAAAAGAAAGUAGCAUUUUAGAAAACAACUUCUCAAUAAAUAGCCUAUAAACAAAAAAAAAAGUAAAAAGAAAAAUAAGUGCAUCCUAUAGACAACACAACACAAUGGGCCAUGACCCAGCCAGGACAUGCCAACCUGUGAAGCUGGACAGAUAGAUGCCUAGAGCAGAGCCCAGGCUGCCCACAAGAAAUUGCUGAAAACUAAGGCUUAGGACAGACUGGAACCCAGAAAAGAAAGGAACCCCGGUCUUGGUCAUGGUUCAUGGCACCACUCCUUUAUAACAAUGCCCUAGAAGAAGCCCAUGCACCUCAGUGGGAGCACUCAUGCUGUUCUUGGGGAACCUUCAUAGGACUGUGCCCUGCCUUGAGCUGGAAGUCUCUGCAGUAGACAUCCUUCCAUAUUUUGUUCUUCAUCUUCUGAACGCCUUCAAGGUUUUUCAAUUGGAAAAAUUCUAUCUGCAUAAUCAACAAUGUGCUAAGGAACUCUACUUUUAGAUCUUCUUAGAAUUCAUAGUUCUUUGUACAUGAGGAUUAAAGCAUUCUUCUGUAUUCUCCACUUGUGAAAUAGAUUUGAGGUUGGUGGAGUCAGGAUUGGAAACACAUACAGGUGGGCAGGGGCAUGAAAGGGACUGGGACCCAGAUCAGAGCUGGAGGCUGAACUCCAGGGAGCCUUUGAAUAGCUAUGGAUAUCACCAGGGUGGGAAGGGACAGUGCUCCACUGUCCUGGGAUUCUCUUGAAACUGAGCUUGGCCUCCCUGCUGAGAGCAGAGAACAACCAUCAAUAAAUAUUCCUUCAAUGGUCUGAAGUUUACGUUUACAGGGUGGAGGUGGAAAUUAAAUUUAGGGAGCCAUGAGGAAGACCCCCAGCCCUGUGCCUUUUGAAUUGACAACCAUGGCAUUUCAGGGCAUCAGCUCCAGGUCAGGCAUUCUCAGGCAGUUGCAUAAUUCUGCCAAUGUGGGGCCCGCCCACCUCAAAAAUCCACAUGGAUUGGAUCCAGCAAAACCAAAUAUUCAGCAAAACUUCAAGAUCUAGCAACACUGAAGGCUCAAGUACAUCACCGGUGCAUACUUGGCCCAAGGAGGCUAUUCUCUCACAAUCUCUACCCAGCUCCGGGCCUGCAGCAUCUGAGACUCACUCCUUCAAGCUGCAGGUAUCCCAGGAAAAAGAUUUAUGCAUCCUCAUAGCUUCAACAUGCAGUGUGUCAGGCACAGAAAAAUGGUUGUCUUCAGAAAGUGAUAAAAAAAACAUGCAGUAGCAAUCACCCUUUGGACUUUGAAACUUUUCUGUCACCUUAGAUGUCAGAAACUAAAACCCAGAAACUUGGUGUUGGCAUUAAUUUGGUCUAGCUAUGAAGACUUUUUUUUUUUUUUUUUCACACAGUGACAGUUCUGAAUUUGAAUAUAAAGGAGCUUAGGUGCUAUAAUCUGAAUGGAACGUGGGAAUAAAACUGUCUUUGCCUUGUACUUCUUGUUAGAUUAAUUAAAUACCAAUUAUCAGUAUAAGAAAAUGGCAAUAAAUUGUCAAAGUGGAAUUGGAAAGUGUUUUUAGGAUUUGGAUAUGAAGCAGGCUUCCCAUGUGACCAUUCUCACUUCUUAUUCUGAAGUCUAACACUCUGCUUUUCUUUCUCUCCCUCUCUUCAUUGAUUCUUCUAGUGGCUGGUGUUUGGGUAUUGUGGGAACUGAGCUUUCAUCUCCUAUGUUAGCCAUAGAGAUGAGGGCUUUGAGGGCACCAUGGAAUCCGAUUGCUGGAAAUAAAUCAAUCUUAAAGGAAAGGAAAAUUUAAAAAUCAGGUGCAACAAAAGCAAAAUGAGAAAACUGCUAAACUCUACAAUUCUAUAAAGAAGAAUUGCAUAAAAAGGAAAUAACAGGAAAAGGUAAGAAAAUUUAAAAGGAUAUCAGAAAAUAUAGCAUACAGGGUCAGAAAGAUUUGAGAAUAUGACGAGAUGGUUUUAGAAGGCAGGAUGGGGCCGGGCACGGUGGCUCAUGCCUAUAAUCCCAGCACUUUGGGAGGCUGAGGCAGACGGAUCACGAGGUCAGGAGAUCGAGACCAUCCUGGCUAACACGGUGAAACCCUGUCUCUACUAAAAAUACAAAAAAAAAAAAAAAAAAAAAAAUUAGCCGGGCGUGUUGGCGGGCACCUGUAGUCCCAGCUACUCGGGAGGCUGAGGCAGGAGAUUGGCGUGAACACGGGAGGCGGAGCUUGCAGUGAGCGGAGAUCGCGCCACUGCACUCCAGCCUGGGAAACAGCGAGACUCUGGCUCAAAAAAAAAAAAAAAAAAAAAAAAAAAGGCAGGAUGGGCUGGGCGCGGUGGUUCACGCCUGUAAUCCCAGCACUUUGGGAGGCCGAGGCGGGCCGAUCGCCUCAGGUCAGGAGUUCGAGACCAGCCUGACCAACAUGGAGAAACCCCGUCUCUACUAAAAAUACAAAAUUAGCCGGGCAUGGUGGCC